GCUUUUGAUUCUUCGAUGUCGGCUCUUCCUAUCAUUGCGAAGUAGAACUCGCCAAUUGUUGGAUUGUUCACCCACUAAUAGGGGAACGUGAGCUGGGUUUAGACCGUCGUGAGACAGGUUAGUUUUACCCUACUGAUGAGUUCGUUGUCUAAACAGUAAUCCAACCCAGUACGAGAGGAACCGUUGGUUCAGAUAAUUGGUAACUGCGGUUAGCUGAAAAGCUAGUGCCGCCAAGCUACCAUCUGUAGGAUUAUGGCUGAACGCCUCUAAGUCAGAAUCCAUGCUGGAAUAGACGAUAAUCACCUUUCCCGAUGUACCGCGAAUAGCGAUAGGUGUCUUCUGGGCACCCAACAUCAUACAAUUGCAACGCACUCCUCUGCCUGUCAAGUACUGGUGGUGGUGAGUAGGCUGAUUUGUAAUUUCAAAUAUUGGGAAAGAUAAAUCCUUUGUAGACGACUUAACUAAAGAACGGGGUGUUGUAAGCAUGAGAGUAGUCUUGUACUACGAUCUGCUGAGAUUUAGCCCUUGUUCUAUUGAUUUGU
rnacentral:ncRNA from 1 species